rnacentral:tRNA from 1 species
GCGCCGGUGGUGUAAGGCGAACAUCGCUGCCCGGAAAGAAGAAGAUGUGGGUUCGAGUCCGGCCUGGCGCA